UACUUUCAGGGGCACUGCUUUCAAUGCAAAUGUACAGAAAAAAUCUCACAUGAAAAAUCUUACUUAAAUGACUUUAACGGGCACUGCUUUCAAUGCAAAUGUACAGAAAAAAUCUCACAUGAAAAAUCUUACUUAAAUGACUUUAACGGGCACUGCUUUCAAUGCAAAUGUACAGAAAAAAUCUCACAUGAAAAAUCUUACUUAAAUGACUUUAACGGGCACUGCUUUCAAUGCAAAUGUACAGAAAAAAUCUCACAUGAAAAAUCUUACUUAAAUGACUUUAACGUAAGUACGAACCAAAUACAU